ACUGCUCAGUAACACGUGGACAACCUGCCCAUAGGUUGGGUAUAAACCCGGGAAACUGGGUAUAAUACCCGAUAGGUCUCGAUUGCUGGAAUGCAUCGAGAUUUAAAGCUCCGGCGCCUAAGGAUGGGUCUGCGGCCUAUCAGGUAGUAGUGGGUGUAGCGUACCUACUAGCCUACGACGGGUACGGGUUGUGAGAGCAAGAGCCCGGAGAUGGAUUCUGAGACACGAAUCCAGGCCCUACGGGGUGCAGCAGGCGCGAAAACUUUACAAUGCUGGCAACAGCGAUAAGGGAACCUCGAGUGCCAGGUUACAAAUCUGGCUGUCGAGAUGCCUAAAAAGCAUUUCAUAGCAAGGGCCGGGCAAGACCGGUGCCAGCCGCCGCGGUAACACCGGCGGCUCGAGUGGUAACCGUUAUUAUUGGGUCUAAAGGGUCUGUAGCCGGCCGGAUAAGUCUCUUGAGAAAUCUGGCGGCUUAACUGUCAGGCUUUCAGGAGAUACUGUCUGGCUCGAGGCCGGGAGAGGUGAGAGGUACUUCAGGGGUAGGGGUGAAAUCUUGUAAUCCUUGAAGGACCACCAGUGGCGAAGGCGUCUCACCAGAACGGACCUGACGGCAAGGGACGAAAGCUAGGGGCACGAACCGGAUUAGAUACCCGGGUAGUCCUAGCCGUAAACGAUACUCGCUAGGUGUCGGCCACGGUGCGACCGUUGUCGGUGCCGUAGGGAAGCCGUGAAGCGAGCCACCUGGGGAAGUACGGCCGCAAGGCUGAAACUUAAGGAAUUGGCGGGGGAGCAC
rnacentral:rRNA from 1 species